rnacentral:rRNA from 1 species
ACUCCUACGGGAGGCAGCAGUAGGAAUUUCCGCAAUGGACGAAAGUCUGACGGAGCAAUGCCGCGUGAGUGAUGAAGGUUUUCGAAUCGUAAAGCUCUGUUGUAAGGGAAGAAUAGCAAGGAUAGGAAAUGCUCCUUGUCUGACGGUACCUUACCAGAAAGCCACGGCUAACUACGUGCCAGCAGCCGCGGUAAUACGUAGGUGGCAAGCGUUAUCCGGAAUUAUUGGGCGUAAAGCGCAUGUAGGCGGCUUUUUAAGUCUGAUGUGAAAGCCAGUGGCUCAACCACUGAAUUGCAUUGGAUACUGGAAAGCUAGAAUCUUGGAGAGGUAAGUGGAAUUUCAUGUGUAGCGGUGGAAUGCGUAGAUAUAUGAAGGAACCCAAUGGCGAAGGCACUUACUGGACAAGUAUUGACGCUGAGAUGCGAAAGUGUGGUAGCAAACAGGAUUAGAUACCCUGGUAGCGACUG